rnacentral:rRNA from 1 species
UACGUAGGGCGCAAGCGUUGUCCGGAAUUAUUGGGCGUAAAGAGCUCGUAGGCGGUUUGUCGCGUCUGCUGUGAAAUCCCCAGGCUCAACUUGGGGCGUGCAGUGGGUACGGGCAGACUAGAGUGCGGUAGGGGAGACUGGAAUUCCUGGUGUAGCGGUGGAAUGCGCAGAUAUCAGGAGGAACACCGAUGGCGAAGGCAGGUCUCUGGGCCGUUACUGACGCUGAGGAGCGAAAGCAUGGGGAGCGAACAGG